CCCUUCUACUUCUCUAGGUUUUUGUCAGGGUUUUGCUCAUCUCUUACAAAAACUUGUUCCCUCAGUCUGCAGCUCUCUUCCUCCUCUUCAGGUGUCAUCUGUACGUAAACAAACACUGCCAUGGGAAAGAAGAGAAAGCAUAGUGAGACACAGGUCAUUGAACCUGCAAAGAAAGAUGAAAGUGAAACAGAGAGACCUAAAAGGACGCUCUUGGGUUGGAAAGAUAAACCUGAAGAGAAAGAGACUGAAUCCCUACCUCCUCAUCAGGGUGGUUUUAGAAAUAAAGAGAAAGUCUUGGUUACUUGUUCGAGGCGUAUUAAUUACAGGUAUAGGCACUUGAUGUUGAAUCUGGUGUCACUUUUGCCACAUUGUAAGAAGGAUAGUAAGGUUGAGUCUACAAGUAGUAAAGGCGCAACGUUGAAUGAGCUUGUUGAGUUGAAGAAUUGUUCUUCUUCUUUGUUCUUUGAGUGCCGGAAACAUAAAGAUUUGUACCUGUGGAUGGUCAAGUGCCCCAGUGGUCCGUCUGUGAAAUUCUUAGUCAAUGCUGUGCACACAAUGGAAGAAUUGAAGCUUACAGGAAAUCAUCUGAAAGGGUCUCGACCUCUCUUGACUUUCUCAGCUAACUUUGAUAAAGAUGCUCACUGGAAACUCCUGAAGGAGAUGAUCAUUCAGAUAUUUGGAAUCCCAAAGGAUCACAGGAAAUCUAAGCCUUUUUAUGACCAUGUCUUUGUUUUCUCUAUUGUUGAUGACCAUAUAUGGUUUCGGAAUUACCAGAUAUCUGUUCCUCAUAAUGAAACAGAUAAAAUGGCUCGAGGAGGCCUGGAUAAGAUGACCCUUGUUGAGGUUGGUCCAAGAUUUUGCCUGAACCCUAUCAAGAUUUUUGGUGGCAGCUUUGGAGGCCCAACAUUGUAUGAAAAUCCGUUUUUUAUAUCACCUAACCAGGUCAGCGAAUUAUCUACAUGUUUAGUUUGAGUUUUGGCAUCACAAGUAUGAUUAGCUUCUCUUUAGUUAGUCAAGAGUUCCUCCUUUAAUGAUCUAUAAUUCGAGCAUUGGAGAAAAAGCAGAAGGCUGGGAAGUUUGCCAAGAAGGUCAAGGCCAAGACGAGGAGGAAGAUGCACGAGCUAUCAAAUCCAUUGGAGCCUGAUGAAUUUGCAGACAUGUGGAAGGAAUGAUGCGCUUCUCGUACCUACGCUGUUGAUGAUCUUAUAUCACCUUGUAUUCUUAAAGAAAAAUUUCUCAUUUUGGUGCUGUUGCCUUCAUUGGCAUAA